AGCAGCCGCGGUAAUUCCAGCUCCAAUAGCGUAUAUUAAAGUUGUUGCAGUUAAAAAGCUCGUAGUUGAAUUUCGGGACUAAUAUGUCGGUCGUACUUUGUACGUACUAGCAUUAUUGGUUUCUCCCUUCUGACGAACCACGAUGUCAUUAAUUUGGUGUCAUGGGAAAUCAGGACUGUUACUUUGAAAAAAUUAGAGUGUUUAAAGCAAGCUCGCGCUUGAAUACAUUAGCAUGGAAUAAUGAAAUAGGACGUUUGAUUCUAUUUUGUUGGUUUCUAGGAUCGACGUAAUGAUUAAUAGGGAUAGUUGGGGGCAUUAGUAUUCAAUUGUCAGAGGUGAAAUUCUUGGAUUUAUUGAAGACUAACUACUGCGAAAGCAUUUGCCAAGGAUGUUUUCAUUAAUCAAGAACGAAAGUUAGGGGAUCGAAGACGAUCAGAUACCGUCGUAGUCUUAACCAUAAACUAUGCCGACUAGGGAUCGGGAUGAUGUUAAUUUUUAAUGACUCAUUCGGCGCCUUACG
rnacentral:rRNA from 1 species